AUCUUUUUUGGUUCAUAAGCAUGAUGGUUGGGUGUUCACAUGGCUGCAUGACAUGUGCCGCCCUCAAACCUUGUUAUGCAUCAGCAUAUUACCCAUCUGAUA